rnacentral:sRNA from 2 species
ACGCAACGAAGUACUGGGGACUAGAUCUAUCGUUCGAAUCUUAUCUCUGCGUUGGGCCCUGGUUGUAUGCCGGAGAAUAGCGGAUGAGGUAUACCUGACAGUAUUCAACAGGGCUCUCAUCAUUGAUUCUAAGGCAUCUCUCGUCGAUACUAGUAUCCAGUCGCAAUUACUGAGGUGUUUUGUGACAUUCCUGGUCCAAUGGAGAAAUUUGGAUGCUGCCAGGAUGCUGCCUCUCUUGAUCGGUGUGCCGGGAUGUUUCUCUUCAAAGAUGACCCAUACAUAGCACAGCGAACUCAGCUCGGGUGGGUACGAUGAACCUUGCUUGCAGCCAGGCGAAGGAACAUAUGUAUGAGGGAUAAAGAACAGUAAGCAAUACAACGAGGAGUGCGGCUGGUAAAUCCGAAUCAUGGGGUAGAGCUCCCACAUUGUCGAGCUUCAAACCGAUAAGUUCGGAGGCCUUCUUGUGCAAACGGACUGUUCGGUGCAUGGUAAUAGACUCCUUCCGUUUGUAAUGGGAUGGUUUGCAUUGGGGAGAAACGACCGUUCUCAAGAAGUCCUGCCAGUGCUAAGAUUCGAACGGACAAGGGACAACUAUUUAAACGGAAAUAUAAUUAGACUUCUAUCUGGUACCUAGGGUACAAACUCAACACCC